AGUGAACGCUGGCGGUAGGCCUAACACAUGCAAGUCGAACGGCAGCACAGUAAGAGCUUGCUCUUACGGGUGGCGAGUGGCGGACGGGUGAGUAAUACAUCGGAAUCUACUUUUUCGAGGGGGAUAACGUAGGGAAACUUACGCUAAUACCGCAUACGACCUAAGGGUGAAAGCAGGGGAUCUUCGGACCUUGCGCGAUUGCAUGAGCCGAUGUCGGAUUAGCUAGUUGGCGGGGUAAAGGCCCACCAAGGCGACGAUCCGUAGCUGGUCUGAGAGGAUGAUCAGCCACACUGGAACUGAGACACGGUCCAGACUCCUACGGGAGGCAGCAGUGGGGAAUAUUGGACAAUGGGCGCAAGCCUGAUCCAGCCAUACCGCGUGGGUGAAGAAGGCCUUCGGGUUGUAAAGCCCUUUUGUUUGGAAAGAAAAGCAGCAUGUUAAUACCCCGCUGUUCUGACGGUACCCAAAGAAUAAGCACCGGCUAACUUCGUG
rnacentral:rRNA from 1 species